rnacentral:lncRNA from 10 species
CAGCAUUCACUGGGGGCCGCAUGCCGCUGGCCUUGCUGGCAGCAGUUGGUGGAGACCCAGCACUGUGUGGAACAUCCGUGAGCUGCUCUUUUUCAAAAUAACUAAAGCUCUUUCCUCCAACCAUGAUAUCCUUGACAAAAGGUGCUUCUGUAAAGAUGUAAAUCAUGAAAAUACAAGUUAUACAUUAUGCAGGUAAAUAUGUAUCAGGAUAUAUUCAGAGCUGGCCAUUUGAAGUAGAUUUUUCUCAUCUUUUGUUUUAAAGCAGAAGACGGACUGCUGUUAACUGGUCUAUUCAAAAAAAGCACCACCAUGUUUCCACUAAUGCUCACUGUAAUCUAAAGUCACUCAAGUAGAGAGCCAACAGGCAUUCAAAGUACAUCGCCAGUGAUGUAAAAGGUCAUCUCUGACUUGCACUAAACAGAACAAUGGUGACAAUGAAAACCCAGCAAAUUCACUAGUCUAUGACAUUCAUGUUUUGAGAAACAGAUUUAGUGAUCACAAAAGUCAUAAGCAAUAGCUUCUAAACUUAAGCUAAGCAGAAUCAAACAAACAGAACCUCCAACGAUUUUGAGGUACACUAAGUGGGACCCACUGAGGUUCAGAAGGCCCAAAUGAGACGUGCCUCUCUUCAUGAACCCAGGAGGCAGAGAUUGCCGUGAGCCAAGAUCGAUCGCAUCAUUGGACUCCAGCCUGGGCAACAAGAGUGAAACUCCGUCUCAAAAAAAAAAAAAGAAAAAAAGAAAAGAAAAGCAACAUAAAUACUAACUUGAUUUAGUCUUUCCUUCAGCAAGCAUUUUCAAGUUCUGCACAAAUGGAGCAGUGCACAGAAUCCUUUCUCCAUGGCCAAAAGAGAAGGUUCUGUGUGUGUCUCAGUGUGGAGUCUUUGCCACUGCUUGGUGAAAUAGGAGUCCAUCCCAUGAGUCAGGGCAGGAUUUAACUGUUAGCAAUGCCCUGGGGAGGUCAUUGAGGACCAGCAGGGCCAGGUGGUACAGCCAGUACCUUUUAAAGGUUGUAUCCCAUAUUUAGGCCUACGCAUAGGCUGGCAAUGUUUAAGUGUGAUCCUGUUUGGGUAAAUCCUUUAAGGAAAAUACAUAUAUGCUGGUGUGUGCAUUAAAACAUCUCAAAGAAAUCACAAGAAGCUAUUGACUGUGUUUGUUAUGCAGAUAGAAACUUAAAUCGGGGGCAUCGAGUAUUCUAUUUCAGUUAUUUUCUGUAGUUUGAAUUUGUUACCACAUGCUAGUAUGUGGUAUUCAUUCAUUCAUUCAAGAUAAGACCUGGCUAUGCUCAGAGGAGUAAGACAGAGCCCUGGCAGAAAACUCCUUACAACCUAGUAGGGGAAACUGAUCCA